CCUACGGGAGGCAGCAGUGGGGAAUUUUGGACAAUGGGCGAAAGCCUGAUCCAGCAAUGCCGCGUGUGGGAAGAAGGCCUUCGGGUUGUAAACCACUUUUGUACGGAACGAAACGGUUCGCUUUAAUACAGUGGGCUAAUGACGGUACCGUAAGAAUAAGCACCGGCUAACUACGUGCCAGCAGCCGCGGUAAUACGUAGGGUGCGAGCGUUAAUCGGAAUUACUGGGCGUAAAGCGUGCGCAGGCGGUUAUAUAAGACAGUUGUGAAAUCCCCGGGCUCAACCUGGGAAUUGCAUCUGUGACUGUAUAGCUAGAGUACGGUAGAGGGGGAUGGAAUUCCGCGUGUAGCAGUGAAAUGCGUAGAUAUGCGGAGGAACACCGAUGGCGAAGGCAAUCCCCUGGACCUGUACUGACGCUCAUGCACGAAAGCGUGGGGAGCAAACAGGAUUAGAUACCCUGGUAGUCCACGCCCUAAACGAUGUCAACUGGUUGUUGGGUGCAUUAGUACUCAGUAACGAAGCUAACGCGUGAAGUUGACCGCCUGGGGAGUACGGCCGCAAGGUUGAAACUCAAAGGAUUGACGGCUGNGAGNGCGAGACGACGACGAGGGAGAGG
rnacentral:rRNA from 1 species